rnacentral:rRNA from 1 species
UACAGAGGUCUCAAGCGUUGUUCGGAUUCAUUGGGCGUAAAGGGUGUGUAGGUGGCGCCGUAAGUCGGGUGUGAAAUCUCGGAGCUUAACUCCGAAACUGCAUUCGAUACUGCCGUGCUUGAGGACUGGAGAGGAGACUGGAAUUACGGUGUAGCGGUGAAAUGCGUAGAUAUCGUAAGGAAGACCAGUGGCGAAGGCGGGUCUCUGGACAGUUCCUGACGCUGAGGCACGAAGGCCAGGGGAGCAAACGGG